rnacentral:ncRNA from 2 species
AUUAACAAAGGAGAUGGUAAUCCUCCUUAAACAAACCGCCAAUUCUGGCUGAUGAUGCCUACGUUUCC